GGGUCAUUAGAUCAGUUGUUAGAGAAUUGGACUCUUAAUCCAAUGGUAGAGGGAUAAAGUCCAUAAUGACCUACCA
rnacentral:tRNA from 1 species